GCAGCCGGGCGGGCGAGGAGCGGGGAAGCUGACUCAGGGCUGCGGCCGGGGUCCUGCGGGGUAGGAGCGCGAGGCCGGCCUGAGGGAGGAGGCCUAGCGACCCAUCCGGCGCCUCCCGCCCCGGGCACCCGCCCAUGGCCGCGCAUCCUGCGGGCCCCAGGAGGCCUCCAUCUCAAAACAACGUGUUUUUAGUUGCUUCAGGCCAUCUGGAUGUAUACAUGCAGGUCACUGGGGAUAUGAUGGCUUAGCUUGGGCUCAGAGGCCUGACAAGAGUUCAAGGCCAGCCUGGUGAACAUGACGAAACCCUGUCUCCACAAAAAUAAGAAAUGAACGCGGCAUGGUGGCAUGCACCUGCAGUCCCAGCCUCUUGGGAGGUGGAGGCAUUAGUCAGCUGUGAAUGCGCCCAGCACUAGAGCCUGGGCAGCAGAGCAGACCCUUCCUCAAACCCAAAAAGCGUCGUGUCAACCGGACCAGAUGGUCGCCUAAUCAAUAGAGACCACGCCCAAUCAGAGAACUCAAGGGCUGUGAAAAGAGCAGGACCUCACCAGCUGCACGGCGGUGGUGACUGGCUCCAUCUUGCUGUCCCUCCCAAUCACACAACAUCUCCCCUUGAAGGCUCUGCCCAGGCCCGGACUCCCACCUUUCAAGAUGUCUGGAUCAGUGCAGGACCUCCUCCUUGGCCACAUCGCUCUCCUUGGACUGGAUCCCAUCCACUAUCACAGUUUCAGCUUCCCCCAAACUGGAAUAUGUCUUUGCAGAUUCCCAUCCUUAUUAAAGGGCAAAGACUUCUCAUACACCUAGGAUGGAUCAUAUAUUCUUGGCGGGACUGCAGAGAAGGUGCCGUGUCCUGGGUCCUCAUGUCGGGGCACAGGCUUCCAGCCAAUUCUACCUGGGUUAUGUUUAUCUCAAUUCCCUGGUGGUAUUGGUGUCUGCUGGGUUUUGCCAGAAUGAAGACACCGUGUUUUCAUUUGUCAGUUGAUUCGUAUUUUCCAGGAAGACAUUCUGAGAUUACAGCAUUGUCUUAGUCAAGGUGCUGCAGAGGGACAGAACUAAUAGGAUAUAUGUACAUAUGAAAGAAAGUUUAUGAAGAACUGGCUCACACCAUCACAAGGCAAAGUCUCAUGACAGGCCGUCUGCAAGCUGAGGAGUGAGGAAGCCAGCAGUGGCUCAGCCGGAGUCCAACAGCCUCAAACGGAAUCCGACAGUUCAGGCUUCAGUCUGUGGCCAAAUGCCCAGAGACCCCGGAAAGCUACUGGUGUAAGUCCCAGAGUCCAAAGGCCAAAGAACCUGGAGUGUGAUGGCCAAGGGCAGGAGGAAUGGACAGAAGCAUCCAGCAUGGGGUAAAGACGAAAGCCAGAAGACUCAGCAAGCUAGCUUACCUACCUUCUUCUACCUGCCUUGUUCUAGCCGCGCUGGCAGCCGGUUGGAGGGUGCCCACCCCCACUGAGGGUGGAUCUUCCUCUCCUAGUCCACUGACUCAAAUUUCAGUCUCUCUGGGAGCACCCUCACACCAGAAACAAUACCAGCCAUCUAGCCACCCUUCAGUUCACCAUCACAACCAUUGUCUUAUUCAUGAAACCUCUGCAGACCCACCUGAACCUCCGUCGGUGACUUCUACCUCAAGCCCUCUGAUUGUUGCCCAGUGGUGCUUUUUAAAAUAAUUUCCAUAGUUUCUUCUACACCUUUAGUUGGUAUUCUACUGUAAAGGAGAGAUUUUCUUACUCAUUUAUUUGUUAGUUUAUAGUCACCACCAUAUGGAUGCAGAGUUCUGUCUCAUUCACUGGGGAGUAUUCUACUGCAGUCAUGAUUUAUUUUGAUGUUCACAUCCCAGAUUUGGUGAGUGAGCACCCCUACACACUGGCUCCCGAGUGCUGACGUGUCCCCGUCCUUCUCUGCACUUUUCCUUACCUCCUGGCCUCAGAUAUUCCAGGGUCAUUUCUUCUCUCCCUGCUCCAACCCUGCAGUCAGCCAUCUCCCUAAGGACGUUGGUUCCUUUAUGGAAGGUGGCAUUUAGAAGCCAGGAUUUGGGCUGAGCACUGUGGCUCACGCUUGUAAUCCCAGCACUUUGGGAGGCCGAAGUGGGCGGAUCGCUGGAGGCCAAGAGUCUGAGACCAGCCUGGCUAACAUGGUGAAACCCUUCCCCGUCUCUACUACAAAUAAAAAAUUAGCUGGGUGUGUUG